GACGAACGCUGGCGGCGUGCUUAACACAUGCAAGUCGAGCGGGGCGGCGAACGGGUGAGUAACGCGUGAGUAACUGCCCCCCUCUCUGGGAUAACAGUUGGAAACGGCUGGGAAUACCGGGUAGUGGGGGAUGACUCGCGUCCUAUCGGCCUGUUGGUUGGUUGGUGGCCUACCAAGGCGACGACAGGUAGCCGGCCUGAGAGGGGUACCGGCCACAUUUGUCUGGGUUACGGCCCAAUAUCCUACGGGAGGCAGUAGUGUGGUAUGUUGCACGAGGGAUGAAUCCCUGAUGCAGCAACGUUGUUGGCGGUAUGUUGGCCGUUGGGUUGUAUACCGCUUUCAGCCAGUAGGCGGUUGUUGCAGAAUAAGCACCGGCUAACUACGUGCCUGCUGCCGCUGUAAUUC
rnacentral:rRNA from 1 species